AUUAGGUUCAUUUAGGUUUCUUCACUUCUAAUUGUUGGAUUUUGGUGUUCUGUAACAAACUAUGCUGUGACCAAACUUCUCUGACAUAGCAUUUUAUGCACAAACUUAUUUUCUGAUUCAACAUCAUAAUAAUUAAAAUGAUAAUGAAGCAACUAGAUCAACUGUUGAAAUCCAGAAAACUUUUUUUAUUGUUUUUCUAUUCUUUUUGGAAAACCUAAUUCUUGUUCUGUAAAAUUGAUGGGCUUGUUUUAAGUGUUAUGAGGAAUCACAACAAAAUGGCUAGACUCAUAUUUAGUUUGGUUUCAAAAUGCUAGUACCUCACUCACUUUGUAUGAUACUGCAGGUGUUGGCCCUGGAAAACAGGU
rnacentral:misc_RNA from 1 species